rnacentral:rRNA from 1 species
UACGUAGGGUCCGAGCGUUAAUCGGAAUUACUGGGCGUAAAGCGUGCGCAGGCGGUUUUGUAAGCCAGAUGUGAAAGCCCCGGGCUCAACCUGGGAACUGCAUUUGGGACUGCAUCGCUGGAGUGCGGCAGAGGGGGAUGGAAUUCCGCGUGUAGCAGUGAAAUGCGUAGAUAUGCGGAGGAACACCGAUGGCGAAGGCAAUCCCCUGGGCCUGCACUGACGCUCAUGCACGAAAGCGUGGGGAGCAAACAGG